rnacentral:piRNA from 1 species
UGCAUUUUGCAAGGGUUUUUG